AUUUUCUUUUACAUUUUUUAUUCAUUUAUUUAUUUUUUUACAUUAUUUUUACAUGUGGUCAAGUUGAGGUCUUUAGAGAACUUUAUUUCAAAAAAAGUCAAGAGUUGCAAACACUUGUUAGUAGAAGUUUUAAAUGUCUUUGUGUUAAAAAAAUAUUCAUGGAGAUAAUUCUGUGAGGUUCUUACACAUGUAGCUAAGUAGUUUGUCUACAUUUAGGUCCAUUCACUGAAUAAGCAUCCCCCGAACUGUGGCAUUGAAAGUGGAAGUUGUUAUGCAGUUUGAGCCUGUGUAGGAACUCUCAGACUAAGAAGAAAGGCAAGCACGGAGAAAGGACUACAGGACUGUGGGAUGUGAUGUUUCCUCCCAAGCACCCAUUCAGUCCUCUUGCUGCCUUGCGGCCCCUUCCUCCUCUAUAACUGAGCCUUGUUGCCUCUGUGCCUUGGUGAAAGGACAAUGAUGCAGACAAAUUAGAGGAAAGGGUCUUGAGCACCUUGUCAAAAUCCUCUCCUCAAAGAGGUACGGGGUUUAGAAACCAUGAGAUAGAGUAAACCUUCACUCUCCUCUUCUGAAAACAUAAAAAAGUCUUUAGGGAUCAGAUACCCUGAAGGGGAAAUGGCAAUAGGAUAUGUGAGACCCAGUGUGGGGUUCCUAACUGAUGUAAAAUGUAGAGUAGAAGCCGUGUAUAGUCAGCACCCAGGGAGCUGGCUGGCCUCAGCAACCCCCUAACUCCUCAUGGAUCUUUGCAUAUUCUCCUACCAAACAAUGAUGGAUAACUCCUCAUGGAUUUUUUUUUUUUUCAGAAAACCUGCAUGGCACAUCCUGGGACUGAGGGGCUGGGCUGGGCUGGACAGGGCAACCUCCUCCUUGCUGCCUGACAAGCUGUAGCAGAAGCAGGAGCAGGAAGCACGGGGAUGGAAAAAGAAGGGGCCUUUCUUCCAGCCUUUGAGGGUGGAGGCUCAGAAAUGUCUCAGAGAAGAGGUGACAUUUGCACUGGGCUUCUGAAGAUAAGCCACGACCACAUAGCCUGUCUAAUCCAGGAAGAAGAGCAUGUUUCCUGGGGAAAAGGUAGUGAAGAGAGGGCGCCACCAAAAUUAGUGGAAUUAAUGAGUAGAAGGUUGGCAGGUGACAGCUGUCUGUCUCUUAGAAACCAUGAUUCUUUUCCAGAUAACCUGAUUUGCAUCUUCUCCUACCAAACAGAGAUGGAUAACAGGUCUGUCUGGCAAAGGAAAGGACCCAGCAGUGGAAGAGCUACAGUUUAUGACUCCUUCAGGAACUAUGCCCGGCCCAUGCAUUCUCAGCCCACUGCCUGCUUACAGAGAAGAGUGCCACUCAGGUGUCUUCAGCUGGUUAAAUGGUAUUAUGGAACAGGUGCAAAUCGGAUUUGCCUACAUUGAUUUCCAACCUGAGUGGGUUAGGACUUAGCUGGGUGGUUAAGAAAUAAAUGCCUGAGAAGGGUAAAGAAGAUAGGAAGAAAGCUCCCGCUGGUGUGACUGGGGCAUGCCUCGCUGGUCAAUCACAGGUGCUUGUGUGGUUAUCUGUUGAUCUACCUCCAACUCACACAUCACACCUACCCCCACUUCUCUAAAGCUUCACCCAACCAUCUACUCUAAGCCACCACCACAUCGCCGCAGACCAAACACUCAUACUAAUGUUUGAAUGCUUGAAGGCUCAACAAUGUUACUUACACUCAAACGGAAUCCAUUAGUUGGUCCUCAGAAUCCAUCACCACCCAUCACGGUGAAAGCUCUAAUUUUUAGUUGGCUGCAUAAAUGCCCAGAAGAAAAGCACACAUUUUCCAGAGUACCAUAUAACUAGUUGCAUUUGGUCAUGUGACUGAGAAGAUAGUGAGACUUUUUUUUUCUUUAAUGAAACAAUGUGUUUAAUUAGGGUUACAACAAGGAAUGUUAAUGAGGGGUUAUUUACAAGAACAUGAGCAACUUACUAAUGGCUACACCACUGAAGAAAAUGUCUCUCCCUACAUGAGCAACUUUUGACUCCAGCCCUAAAAUGAAAGGGAUGCAGAACCCACCCCCUACCUCGUCACUUCUUUUGGAACAUCUCUUAUACACAGCCUAAUAAAAAUAAGGGGGAAAAAAAAACAGUGAACAAACCAUUAAGCACACAAGUAGAAAUGAUAAUAAAUGGAAUAUUUCCUGAGAUAACGAGGGGAGGGGUGCCUUAGCUUAUAACUCUGAAUCUAUAUGGCUCCUUUGAGAAGGGAAUACAUGUACUGAGCCUGGUCAGAUGGGACUUAGGGGAACAUUAUAGUUUUUUUUAAAAAGAGCAUCUAAGAAUCUUGACCUCUGAUUAGACUUCAUCAAGGCCGCCAUGGGCAGAGUCCCCACCUCCCACCAGAUUCUAGUGGGCUUUAUGUUGACAGUCCUCAACUCCACUGGAGAGUGCAGCGCCCUAAGCCCACUGGGAACUGAGGUAUGGGGUAGUAAGUGAAGUCUAGAUGCCUCUUGAGAGAGGUGGGCCAAGAGCUAUAAGAGGUCGCAGGACAACUGAGAAUCUUUGUCUAAACCUGAGAAGCUGGAUGUGUUAAGUCCCACGAGCAGAUAUGGGAUUCGGAACCGGGGAAGCUGCUAGGCUUUGAAAUGAGAGAAAUUCAGGGGUGGGCUAGGAGAAGGGGAAUCACAUGUGCAAACUGACGCCCAGAGCUUUCUGACAUUUACCGUGCCCAGGUUAGGUGCCCAGGCUACAUUUACUGUGGCCUUGAUCACACAGGCAGCUUAGGGGGUCUGCCCCCACCUCUUCGUGUGUGCUAGAGAAGCAAAUGCGCAUAAUACGGAAUCUCACCCAAGCCUCACACACCGAGGUCCUUGUGUGGACAUUAUCUCCAUUUUACAAAUGAAGGCUUCAUCUGAGGCUCAGAGAGGGCAAAAGAGUUGUCCGAAGUCACAAGUAGGCAAAGCUGGCCUUGGGGGAUAGAUCCAAGCACCAUCUAAGGUCACAUGGAGGGAAAGGGGCACAGUGGGUCUGUUCAGAAAGCUACUUAGACAGGGUAUCGCAAACCUUUGGCCUAGCAGCCAAAGACGGCGCACAGCAGGUUUGGGUUUGGCGACCUGACAAGAGGAGACUGUGCCGCCUUCAGGCAGGGACCACAUUUUAUCUCAUUUAUCACGAGGCCCCUGCUUAUUCCUUCAAUUAAGUCCUGCCGAGUACUAGAACUCGGGUGUCAAUGGUGGCCUCAUCCUAGAAAGGCCUUUCUUUAGCACCGGAAGCUGGCUGAGGACGGACAUCCUCCUAACCUCACUGCCCACUCUGUGGCUAGUCCCGUACUGUGACAAUGGGCCCAAUAAUUCAGGGAAAUGGAGCCCAAGUACUCGUGUGGUCUAGUAAACUUCCAAGAAGUCUAAAAUACGCAAGCCUUUCUCCUGUCUAAAAGCAUAUUACAUGGAGGCAAGGGCCUUGUUCGGGAAGCAGGGACUGCAUGCCCAGUCCAAGCACAGCAAGAAAAAGGUAAGUGGCCACCUCUCUCCCUGGGAGUUCAUUAAGAGCAGGAAGCAGUUGGUGGUCUCCAGAUGGGAACAGACAACAAAGCAGUUGGAACAUGUUGAGGUACCUGGCAGCUGCACAAAGCUGGGGGAAUUGUACGGGUCUAGGGUGUAGUGGUGCAUGCUUGUAAUCCCAGCUCUUGGAAGGCAGAAGUAGGAGGAUUAGGGGUUCGAGGCCAGACUGAGUUAAAUGCCAAAAGAUGAAAGAAAGAUCAGUAUGAAGAUUAGUCCUGAUGUUCAAGCUACCUUUCAAUCUCCUCUUCCUGUGUUUUAUAUUCUUGGGAGCAGUGUGGCAGCCAGGCUCUGGGCUUUUGCCUUCAGUCAUAUAGCCUGUCUCUCUGGUUUGGAAUUAAAUAGCCACUGCUGGGAAUCCCAGGAGAAAUUUGUAAUUGUCCUUUGUAAAAUGCUAGCUAGUCUCAGAAUCCUUGGAGUUUCUUGAAGCACAGCUUACAGACCUGCCUUGCCUCCGAGAUCAGUUAAAGGGACUUUGAGGUGUAUGUCUAUAAGUUGUCAUGGGCAAAGGAAGUCACUUUCCUGAACUCAAAAUAACCAUCUGUGUGCUAACUUUGUCUUUAAGAGGAAAGCCAUACCUUUUUGGUCAAUUUAAGUGGCCAUGGCAGUCUUAGAGAAAAGCAAGAAUCAGAUAUUUUGUUUCUUAAAUGUCUUGAGAAUUUUUUAGCACAAAAACCGGGACAUUGGAGUGGAGACGGGCUCACUUAGAAGAAAAGCGACUCCUCUCAAAAGAUUAAGAUGACAAAUAGCAAAAGAAGGCACUCUAACCCUAAACCUCACCCCUCAAAAAGUCAAUUGUGCUACCAAGAAUGGGUGGGACUUAUGACAAUUCACGUCAUUCAAACAAUAACAGCCAAUGAGACCUGACUCAUUAGGGUCACAGCCUGCUGCCGCCUCGCCCCCCCCCCCCCCCCGCAGGUUCUGAGUUUACUGUUUUUCAAUGCCUCAGCCAUGCUCUCCUUCCCUGAUCUGUUUUGAAUUUCCUCUCCCCUAAUGUGUAUUUAUGUCUCUCUGGUUACAAGCUGACAAGAACAGCCCCUAGCAUAUCUGCUUCCGCUCAGGCCCUGACGUCAUUUACUUAAUUUCCUCAAGUUUUCCUUUCCUUUCCAUUAAACCAGAUGGUCUUACGAAGGUGAAGGGGGUGGGGUUAGGGAGAGGUGGCAGCUUUGGAUUUUAACUAACAAAUCAAUGAAAUCGACCAACUAGCUGACUGCUCAAAAAAAAUUGCUAAUUAAAGAAAAGCUAUUUAAUUCUGAGUACAUGGAGGAAGUUAAGCAAAGUUGAAUGAAUGUCCUUUCUUCCUUCCUUCCUUCCUUCCUUCCUUCCAUUUACCCAUCUCGUUAAGAGGCUGCUAUGAAUAGAGCUGUAUGCCAGGCAAUAAAAAUCAAACUGAGAACAAGCUACUGACCUCUCUCUUGAGUAACUCACAGUUACUCUUGAGGAACUCACAGAAGGCCAUGCAUGUGUGUGUGUGUUUGUGUGUGUGUGUGCGUGCGUGCACAUAUACACACACCAAGAUCUAUCAGCCAGGAAUUUACAGAAGUUGGCAUUAUCAAGUUCCGCUUCUCCUAGUGAGCAGUGUCUCACAGCUUUACAAAGGAGAUGGGCAUCUUGGGAUGCAGCCCUAAGAUGGAGUAGGAGGCCAUGAAUGGAAACUAGAAACCACCAUAAAUUCAGAAUUCUAAAAUGAUCAUUCCUUGUGUAUGGGGCAAAGCUGAAGGAAUCGUAUGCAAAGCCCAAAUAAAAAGACUGUGAGAUCAGGAAAAAGGAUUAUCCUGGGAGAGGGUGGACCAGUGAGAGGAGCCAACCAAAGGUGACACAGGAAUUUAGAGCAGGUGAUAUACCCUCUGUUGAUCUUGAGGAAAUCAACCCACCUCUGGGUGCUGAGGCCCUCAGUUCUACGACUGCAAGGAACUGAAUUCUACCAAACAAAUUGAAGAGGUACACAGCCCUCAGGUGCAAGCCACCCUGGCUUGACAUAAUGGUUUCAGGUUUCUAAGUCUGUGAGCCAAGACACUCAGGCCAGCUUUCAGCUUCAGGGACACAUAAGUCUUGAGGUGGUGAGCAGCAAGCACCUUAGAAUGUUGGUAUCUUGACUGGUCUUGUAGCAGUCCAAAGCAAGAGAGAAAAAAAAGCCGGACAUUGUAUCUAUUACCUGAUGUGGCAUUGAUCAUAUCAGAGGCUAUACCAACUUAAUAACAUUUAGACAACCUAUAAGAAAACAAAAUAGGAAAUACUUUCUUCCAAUAUGUAGGGUGUGUUUCUGAUGCUUUGAAUCUGCCUGGGAACACUGAAGGUUCUGCUCCCCAGUUGGUUCUUGAUCGAUCAAUAAAGACGCUAGCGGCUAAUGGUUGGGUGGAAUAGGUGUGACUUUCAGGUUCCCGCAGGCAGGCUAGCAGACUCAGGAGAGAAGAAAGGACUCACCAGGCUUUGGAGGGAGAAAGAGUCACCAGCCAUGUGAGGUCUAGGGUGGGGUGGCCAUUGGCCACUUCUCCGACUGGGCCUGGGAUAGCAGGUGGAAGAUCAGAAACACAACUAAGCUGAGGGCAGAUUUAGGGUGCUGAGUUAGGACUAAAGUUAACUGAGCAACUUAAACUGAGGAAAGACUUAGAGAUAUUGAGAUGGGAGUGAAAAGAAGAGCGUGACAGCCAAGGAAGGCUUAGAAAAGCCCGGCCACUGAGCUAAAAUAAAGCAUAUAAAAAA
rnacentral:lncRNA from 1 species